AUUGAACGCUGGCGGCAUGCCUAACACAUGCAAGUCGAACGGCAGCACAGUCUAGCUUGCUAGACGGGUGGCGAGUGGCGGACGGGUGAGUAACGCGUAGGAAUAUACCUUGAAGUGGGGGACAACCUGGGGAAACUCAGGCUAAUACCGCGUAAUCUCUUCGGAGGGAAGCUGGGGACCGCAAGGCCUGGCGCUUUAAGAUUAGCCUGCGUCCGAUUAGCUAGUUGGUGGGGUAAAGGCCUACCAAGGCGACGAUCGGUAGCUGGUCUGAGAGGAUGAUCAGCCACACUGGGACUGAGACACGGCCCAGACUCCUACGGGAGGCAGCAGUGGGGAAUAUUGGACAAUGGGGGGAACCCUGAUCCAGCAAUGCCGCGUGUGUGAAGAAGGCCUGAGGGUUGUAAAGCACUUUCGGCGGGGAGGAGGAUAAGUUGGUUAAGAGCUGACUUAUUGGACGUUACCCGCAUAAGAAGCACCGGCUAACUCCGUGCCAGCCGCCGCGGUAAGAC
rnacentral:rRNA from 1 species